rnacentral:rRNA from 1 species
CAAAAACAUAGCCCUACGACACUCUUGUAAGGUGAAGCCUGCCCAAUGACUGCCAAUAAUCUAAUAAAAAUCAGUUCAAUGGCCGCGGUAACUCUGACCGUGAUAAAGUAGCAUAAUCACUUGUCACUUAAUUGGUGACUGGAAUGAAUGGCUAAACGAAUCCUCCUCUGUCUCUGAAGAAAUCCUGGCAAAUUUGAAAUAGCAGUGAAGAUGCUGCUAAAUAAUUGUAAGACGAAAAGACCCUAUCGAGCUUUACUGGAAUCUUGCAAAGUAACAUAGUUAUUAAAGACAAAAUUAUACAAAUUGCAAGCCCGACAGUUUGGUUGGGGCGACCACCCCUAAAAACGUAUCAGGGGAACUCUAAGGGCUGUCAUAAUAUGAAAAACCGCCUUACUGGAGACAAACAAGUCAAUCAGUUAUAAUUUAUAGGACAUAUUGACCCGUUAUUUAGCUUCACAACAAAUAACGACUAUGAAAAAAGUUACCGUAGGGAUAACAGGGUAAUA